GAGAGGCAGCUUGUUUCCAUAGGUUUAUGCUGUUAACUGUAAGCAGUCAGAUCUAUUUUUCCUUUCUAGGUUGCUCCUGUUAGCCCUGAUAUGUUUCCUUUGCAAUUGGCAUGUUCAAUGUGAAGACUGAGUCCCAAUCUUCAUACAGAAUAGAAUGUGACUCCACAAGGGAACUAGCAGAUUUUGCAGUCAGUUUAGGAAGAGAGGGGCUCUCCAGUGGUUGGUUCAACUGAUAUACCUGAAGACAGAUUCAACUCCCUGUGGAGUGUCUGACUGCAUGAUUUAAAAUUAUCAUUUUAUGCAGCAAUUUUUCUACCCAUUUCUCCCUGCUAAUGCUGAGUCAGAGAGUUCAGAGUAUUUAAUGGAAAAUGGAGCGACAAGUAUCUUACAGCAUGACUGAAAACCAGCAGUCAAUGGGGAGACACCCACUGGCUCCACUUAGCUUUAGAAAUCUGUACCAAAGCGUG
rnacentral:lncRNA from 1 species